ensembl:lincRNA Gm37855 predicted gene, 37855
ACAGGCUGUCCUUUGACCUUCCCUUCCUACCAUAGCAGGUUCCACUCAGCCCCUUCAAUGCUUUCCCUGCUCCGUUUUUCCAGCAGUGAACAUGAAGAAAAGCUACGGCUCAUGAACGAGCCUGGGGUUUGCUGUUUGUUUUGUUUUGAACAACGCGUAAUCCCGGGGCCUUGGGGAACUUGCAAUUUGGCUGGAAAACUGAAAGGUCCUGAGCAAAAGCUGCUUCUCCUGCAUCCCUGGCUGGCUCUCUCUGACAUUGGCCGUUCUGACAGUGGCUCCCAAGAUAAAACAGAAGACCCAGGACCAACCAGCCUUUGAGAACUCCCACUUGAUGGCUAUUGGACAACUGUGCAUCCAUAAAGUAUCUUAGAGAAUGAAUGAUCUUCUUGUUUUAUACUUGGAAAAUCCAAGUCGCUUAGGUCAUUCUCUCACGAGCACAGUGGGGCUGAAAUCCCCAUUGGCACUCAUGGUUCAGCGCUAUUUCCACAGUGCCUCCAGAUGUAGCUUUUCUUACUAUAGUGCCCGGGAAACUAGAAGCUGCAAGCCUUCCUCAACUGGAGAAGACAAGCCUUUUGCUAUACAGGCCUUACAGCUUGAGGCUGAUGCCCUCAUCCUCUGAGUGGGAGGCAGUCCUGGCCAAACAGCUUGAUUUGUGGAGAGCAAUGGAAAACCGCAUGGAGACAGAGUGGCCUAGCUGCCAGGGCUCUCUACAUAUUGGCAUACCCAGCAGUGGUGCUGAGGGACACUCUUGAUCCCACCCUCCUGCCAGGAAACGGAGAAGGCCCUGCCCUCUCUUACCAGCUUUAUAAGAAGUGGGUGGGCCUUACUGGCCUUCUCUAGGCACAGGCUAGCUGCAUCCAUUGGUGGUGACAAUGGGACAGACAGCAACUGCCAUUUGCUAACAGUGCCUUGCCAGGCCAGAGCUUCUCCUUUGGAUGUUAAGCAAAAACAGUCUCAAAAUUUUCAAGAUUCUCAUUUACCAAAAAGGAAACUGAGACUUGGAGAGGUCUGAAUGCUGACUGAUAGCAACGAAGUAGAGACCUAUACAUCUCAUCUGACAGACUGAGGGCGGCGGACCCUUCAGGAUCCGCUGAAGCCCAAGCGGCAAAGACUUGUUUCUCAUGGCUCCUUCUGUUUUGCUGUCUGAUUUGUUUUAAGUAAACUUCAUUAUAUAAAGGACUUUCAAAUAAAUAAAAACAUCACACACCAAAACUAGCCAGACCCGAAGUCUACCAUCUUAAUGAACAUAAGCAUUUGGAUUGGCAUUUGAAGCAGAAGCUGUUAAGUUUCUCCUUAAACCCUACACUUUCAGGACCUAAGAUGUACUUAGCCACCACCAAAACCAAAGAGGUACACACAGAAUCAGAAAAAGAAAAACAUUAACUUUAUAUUCUCUUCCAUAAUCUGUGCUGGUCACCUGCGCUGAUGCCACCGCCAUGUUGGAUUCGCUAGGUAAACUUUUCUCCCAUGUGCCUCUCAGAUCCGCCAUCUGAAUGUGCAUCCUUUAUUUACCUCCGAGUUAGACAUGUAAGGGAAGCCUGAUGGUCAAGUAGUGACCUUACGUCUAGAGGCUGCAAGAGGCACAGAGCCUCCCCUUCUUGCCUUUGCUCUAACCCUGCUCACUGCUGGUCACAACUGGAUUGAACUUGAUGUUGCGUGGGCCAGUUACUCACUCUUCCCGAACUCUGAAAAUCUCAGACAAGAUUCUUCUCAUCUCUAAAAUGGGGCAGUAAACAUAUUGUGACCCACGUGCACCACCCCCAAGUGAAGGCGAUGGACAAAUGCCUGGCCUUUCCCUCCAUCUGGUUAUCCUAUCGACUGGUUAUCCUCUCCACUGGCCAUUGGCUGGUCAUUGCCAUAGCUUCAAACCCCAGGGCAUGCCCUGCUUCUCACCACUGGGUCCCCAGUCACAGCCAUGCUGCUACCAUCUCAACUGCACCCUUUUCAAGGAAUGCACCCUUCACUCAGACUCCUCUACAGUGCCCCCCAGGACUUGUGACAAUGUGCAUCUCUUCCUCCACUGUGACCCCAAGCAUCUGAAAGAGCCUAUGAUAUAUAACACAGUAAAGAAAGUCUAUCACGAGAGGAUGCUUUCCCAGACACGCUGGCAGGGCCCUGGUCCUGUGUUCCCCUCACCAAUCCACAUGUCCCUUCCCUGUCCCUUUCUUCACCUGUCUCACUGGCUGACACCUCCCCCACAUUCCUCCAGCAUGUGUCUAUCUGCUCUCCCCUCUCUCUCUCCCUCUUCCUUCCCACCCCCCUCUACGAUGCUGCUGCUGCAGGCUUGGAGCAGGAGGUUAUGAAAAUGAGCUUCGUGCCCAGGAGACUGUAAUUAUCUGCUAAGUGUGAAAGCCAGAGUGAUUAAUUAAGAGAUAAUAAAAAGAAAAGGAGGGUGAGAGGGGGGCCUCGCCACUUCGCUUUGAUGAUAGAACCUGAGGUGAGCCAAGCAAUUAGGGGAAUCUUUAUCGAGAGUUAGCUGUAAUCCACAAAUUAUUAAGCACCAAAUGCUUCAGGAGAGCCAUGCAUUCUUGCCUAGUGACAGACAGAGGACAGCAGGAUUAAGAGAGCUGAGAACACCCAUCCAGGGACAGGGAGGGCUGAGCUAGAGUCUGGGGCUAGCAGGGUUGCUGGAGGACAGCCACAGAGCAGGCUGUGCUCACUGUCCCAAGCCAGGCAACACAGCACAGGCAAUGUUUGUGGGGCUCUAGGCCCUGGCUGUCUGGCCUCCCUAUCCUUGAAAAAGGGAACCAGGUUGUCCUAGGGGCUCACUGUAGUCCUCUUCCUCAGAGGCCCAGACCUUCCUCUUGAAGGACUGACAUCCAAUCACAUCCUUAAAGGAGCAGGGGUUGCUUACCACACACAGCUGUGGGGAAGUAUAUCACACAGGCUGCAGAUAUAGAUGCUUGCAGGGGCCACAGCUGACAUGACCACACCACAGUGGUCAGGACUCAGAGCUUCUAACCUCAUACCCCUAAUCAGGCAGACCUCCCUGGGCCUCGGCUUCUCCCAGUAGACUCUCCUACCAGGUAGUCAGGCUCCUUUACCUCUCUCUCAAGUCCUGCCCUCUAUCUCCUGCCCCAGCUGGUUCCACUGUUCCAGGAUGUUUUCUCUCCAGGCCUCCCAGGACCAUCUUCCUAACUGGCCAUGACUCAGCUCCAGCAUCUCUUUCCAUCUUCUUCCCAAUACGAGCUCUAUAGACACUCGCACUGCCCACAUCUGUAACAUGGGAGAUCCACACAGGCAAAGUUGGGUUGAGGACACUCCUGAUGUCAGGAGGCCUGGUCAUGAAUGGGCUCACCCUGCCCCCGCCCGCCUUUCCAGGUUCUUUUCCUAAUAACCAGGCUUCAGAAGCACACACAGCUCCUUUCUCAGCCUGGCCACUCAGAGGAAGAUGAAAAGGCCCUCAAGCUAUACCUACAGUUAGUGGGAGGUGCUAGUGCUAUGAGCCUCGUGUUUCCCACCCUGGCCAAAGACCCCGUACAGUGACAACCUCAGUCAGACCCUUAAAGAGAAUUUCUUGGUGUCCGUGGAGCCUGGGAGAGUCUUACCUCUGAUAUCUCAGGCCUUGCUUCUGAAUAAAGGAAGCAUGCCAUGAAGUUUGAAGAAAUGAACUAUUGGGGGAAAAUUAUUUAUCCAUAUAUAGAGAGUGCUGUAGACGCGUUUGGUUUCAACCUCUAAUUAUAGUUUCUGUGCAGGAGCAGGAAAGAUUCAGGUUGGACACAAAGAACUUCCUAUUUGCUACUGUCAGGUCUGAGAGCGGACAACGCUAAUAAAAUUCCUUUCUCUUC